GGAGAGGUGUCCGAGUGGUUUAAGGUGACAGACUCGACAUCUGUUGUACGUAAUGCGUACCGGGGGUUCGAAUCCCUCCCUCUCCGCCA
rnacentral:tRNA from 1 species